rnacentral:rRNA from 1 species
CGGUAUGUAAAGCUCUAUCAGCAGGGAAGAAAAUGACGGUACCUGACUAAGAAGCCCCGGCUAACUACGUGCCAGCAGCCGCGGUAAUACGUAGGGGGCAAGCGUUGUCCGGAAUAAUUGGGCGUAAAGGGCGCGUAGGCGGCUCGGUAAGUCUGGAGUGAAAGUCCUGCUUUUAAGGUGGGAAUUGCUUUGGAUACUGUCGGGCUUGAGUGCAGGAGAGGUUAGUGGAAUUCCCAGUGUAGCGGUGAAAUGCGUAGAGAUUGGGAGGAACACCAGUGGCGAAGGCGACUAACUGGACUGUAACUGACGCUGAGGCGCGAAAGUGUGGGGAGCAAACAGGAUUAGAUACCCUGGUAGUCCACACUGUAAACGAUGAAUACUAGGUGUGCGGGGACUGACCCCCUGCGUGCCGCAGUAAACACAAUAAGUAUUCCACCUGGGGAGUACGAUCGCAAGGUUGAAACUCAAAGGAAUUGACGGGGGCCCGCACAAGCGGUGGAUUAUGUGGUUUAAUUCGAAGCAACGCGAAGAACCUUACCAGGGUUUGACAUCCUGCUAACGAAGUAGAGAUACAUUAGGUGCCCUUCGGGGAAAGCAGAGACAGGUGGUGCAUGGUUGUCGUCAGCUCGUGUCGUGAGAUGUUGGGUUAAGUCCCGCAACGAGCGCAACCCCUAUUGUUAGUUGCUACGCAAGAGCACUCUAGCGAGACUGCCGUUGACAAAACGGAGGAAGGUGGGGACGACGUCAAAUCAUCAUGCCCCUUAUGUCCUGGGCUACACACGUAAUACAAUGGCGGUCAACAGAGGGAAGCAAAGCCGCGAGGCAGAGCAAACCCCCAAAAGCCGUCCCAGUUCGGAUUGCAGGCUGCAACUCGCCUGCAUGAAGUCGGAAUCGCUAGUAAUCGCGGAUCAGCAUGCCGCGGUGAAUACGUUCCCGGGUCUUGUACACACCGCCCGUCAAACAAUGGGAGUGGUGUUUACCAGAAGUCGUUAGCCUAACCGCAAGGAGGGCGGCGACCACGGUGAGCACCGUGACUAAUGUUAAGUCGUAACAAGGUAGCCGUACCGGAAGGUGCGGCUG